GACGAACGCUGGCGGCGUGCCUAAUACAUGCAAGUUGAGCGCUGAAGGUUGGUACUUGUACCAACUGGAUGAGCAGCGAACGGGUGAGUAACGCGUGGGGAAUCUGCCUUUGAGCGGGGGACAACAUUUGGAAACGAAUGCUAAUACCGCAUAAAAACUUUAAACACAAGUUUUAAGUUUGAAAGAUGCAAUUGCAUCACUCAAAGAUGAUCCCGCGUUGUAUUAGCUAGUUGGUGAGGUAAAGGCUCACCAAGGCGAUGAUGCAUAGCCGACCUGAGAGGGUGAUCGGCCACAUUGGGACUGAGACACGGCCCAAACUCCUACGGGAGGCAGCAGUAGGGAAUCUUCGGCAAUGGACGAAAGUCUGACCGAGCAACGCCGCGUGAGUGAAGAAGGUUUUCCGAUCGUAAAACUCUGUUGGUAGAGAAGAACGUUGGUGAGAGUGGAAAGCUCAUCAAGUGACGGUAACUACCCAGAAAGGGACGGCUAACUACGU
rnacentral:rRNA from 1 species